GAUGAAGAACGCAGCGAAAUGCGAUAAGUAAUGCGAAUUGCAGAAUUCAGUGAGUCAUCGAGUCUUUGAACGCACAUUGCGCCCCCUGGUAUUCCGGGGGGCAUGCCUGUCCGAGCGUCAUUGCUGCCCUCAAGCACGGCUUGUGUGUUGGGCCUCCGUCCUCCUCCCGGGGGACGGGCCCGAAAGGCAGCGGCGGCACCGCGACCGGUCCUCGAGCGUAUGGGGCUUCGUCACCCGCUCUUGUAGGCCCGGCCGGCGCUUGCCGACACAUCAAUCUUUUUUCCAGGUUGACCUCGGAUCAGGUAGGGAUACCCGCUGAACUUAAGCAUAUCAAUAAGCGGAGGA
rnacentral:misc_RNA from 1 species